GACGCGAAAGCUAGAGCGGAACAGCACCGGGUUCUUACCCCGGAGAUCGAGGGUUCGAUCCCCUCUCGCGUCC
rnacentral:tRNA from 1 species